UUAACAGUUGGUGCGAGGUGGUUGAGACAGUUGGUGGCCGGUUUGUUAGGGACUACAGAAACGGUUCGCCAAGGUGGUGUGUGACGCCAUGAUUUCCAGAGACGUGCUCCUGGUUUACUCGACACCCAGGUACAGCUUGCUCUGCUGCGGUCUUCAGUCAGACCCAAGGCAAUAGCAGCUCCACACACAGGUGCAGACUGAGAAAAAUGACUCCAACAACAGAAUUAAAAUUAGCACUGUUAGGUCCCGGACCACCCAAACAUCAUCAAGCUGUUCUCCAUCGUCGAAACCAAAGAGCACAUCUACAUGGUGAUGGAUCAUACUGCUGGGGAGAUCUGGUGAAUCAUAUUGAGAAGCCUCACACGAAUGAAGCGCGCAUUUACCGCUAUGUCGGGACUGUCUUGGAUACCAGCCGCUCUCACUGGUCUACUACAGUUAUCAGGCCUUGCUGGACACUCGCCGUACGCUGCUCUGUGUUAGGCCCUGCUGGAUACCCCAUGACACCAACCUGUGUAAACUUGCUGGACGUCCCCUCACUCAGUCCUACUGCUCAGCAUACAAAGCUAGAAUCUCACUAUGUAGACCUGACUCAUCUGGAACUGUGUAGACCAGACUAAGCUGUAGCUCACGGAGGUCUGCCUGCCUCUGUGCUGGUGAGCUGUCUGGAGGAGUUCACUGAAAACCAGAAAUGGAAGAGGCCUUCACUGUCUGCUUGAGCCACACUAAGUUCAUAUCCACCACCCCUUCGUUUCUUAUUAAGUGGCUCCCAGAGUCUGUCCAUUGCUUUCCCACUCAGGAAGAGCCAUGCAUGCCAGCCCAUGCAUGCAGGGAGUGAGCCCGGAAGAUGGGGGCCCCAGCACCAGUGCUAAGAAUGGUGGUGCAGGUACAGAGGAUGCCCGUGAAAGCAUGGAGACCCCAGCGCCAGCAUGGAGGGGUGUGAGCACAGAGGCAUCCUUCUUCAGUCGACGAUUAUGGCGGGGUCCAUCACGAGGAAAGCAAGGCAGUGUGGCACGAGGCGACUUGAGAGCCCCCCUGAGACUGGCCUGAAGCUGGGGAGUUUUUACAUCUCUGACAUAGGAGAGUACCCGGACUGAGUCUUCUCCCAUGGUUCUGUAGGUGGCCUGGCUUUUGACCUGUAUCAGAAAAUUGAAUACAUACGGUAUGAACUUGGAAACCGUGUCACUCACAGGAAGCUCCUAAGUGUUUGCAGUCGUCACCUUUCGACAGAUCGCUCCUGUCAUUGGGAAUGGGGAGUCGUCCUUGCACUCAGGAGACUGUCCAUGUAAACAGAAGCAAAGGUUAGCCAUGCUCCAGCUAGCUCCAUGCUGUAGCGCCAUUAAUGGACAGUGUUGUGAGAAAUUUUGCACAACUGAGUACCAGGUCUUUUCCUUCUAGCUUGUAUCUUCCUGGGUACAUAAAUAAAAAAAUACAAUCUAAAUACAAUCAAUAGGAUAUUCAAAUAUUUAAUGGAUAGCUAAGUGAUUUUUAAAAUAUGCUAUAUCUGGUAACACUUUCUUGCUUAAAAUUUGUAAUAUCUAACUUAAGAUUUAGACUUUUACUUAUACUAGUAAAUCUUUCUAGAAGUCUUAUAAAAAAAGAAAAUUAUGGUGAGAAUCAGAUGGGUAAAAGGAACUUGCAACAAAGACUUAAUAAAUUGUAUAUGACUCAUCUAUUAUGUAAUGAAGUGUGUGUGUGUGUGUGUGUGUGUGUGGUGUGUUUGAGAAUGUGAGGAAGUGUGUGCUUUGACUUUGAUUUAAAGGACAUGAGAACUGUAGGGUGAGAAUUCUCAUGUGUAAAUGCGAAGCUCUGCUUGCUGGCUUCUUGGGUGGUGUGGCAACUCAGAGUAUGUGACUCGUGUGCUUUUUAGGACAUAAAUUGGGACUAGUAUUUGAAUUAGUGUGUCUAUUGGGCCCCUAUUGUGUUCACAUGAGUCGUCUUUCCUGUACAUGUAAAAGGCACUUGUUGCUUGUGUGUGCAUGGUUAUAGCAGGGGUAUAUACAUAAUCCGGAGAAAGUAGGUAUUUUGUUUUUUCUUCUAGAAGUCAGGCAGUAAUAAAUGACAUAUCUGUGUGUUGAGGAUGUGGAUAGUAGGUGUAUGCUCGUGUUCACAAUCUGCGAAGUGUGUAUGUUCUGGAAAUGAGUGCUGUGACUUGGUGGUUGGGGUAGAGGCUGUUACAUGGGAGCAGGUGGACUGUGCGCCAUAUUUAUGGGGAAGAAUGUGAGUGUGCAGUAGCUGGCUUUGGUAGCAGGUGAUUCUCAUCUCUUCCCAGUUCUGUGUUCAGUGGCAUUAGGUUGAUAGAUUGAAAUUUGUCCUGCUGAUAGUGUUAUAUGAUAUAAAAGCCAAGGCUUGUCCCCUUCUCCCAUGGGAUAUCUUAUUGUUUACUGGAAUCCCCCCAAGUGUGUAUACAUGCAUUCGUGUAUACAAUAUAUAUGAUCAGAUGAUUUUGUAAACAGUAUCAGGCAACAGUGAAUUGGCAUGUGUUGGAAAUCUGUGGGAAUUGUUGUUGGCUCAUCAGGGUAUUGACCAUAAGCUAUUGCAUUACUCUAUAUUGUGUCAGUUAAUUCUUUAGGACCAACCAGUUCUCUCCAAUGCUGAUUUUGGGUUAUUCUGUUUGUAGAUGGAGUUGCCUGUAUCUUAGUCAUGUAGAUGUACCUUCAACCUCUGAGUUCCUGCGUUGUACAUGUCAAAAUGUCUGGGUGGAGAGAUAGCUGUGAAGGAUGUAUCUGUCAUGCUGUGCUGUCUGUGUGAUUGGUGGAGGCAGUCACAGUACUGUGAUAUUUCUUCGCCAGGCAAUGAGAUGUGCUGAGUCUUCAUUGAUGUCAAUCUCCCUGAGAAUCAUUUGGCAGUCAAGUUGCUGCUGACUCUGCUGUGGGAUAGUUGUGGGCUAGAAUACCCUCGUCGGAAUGUCGCAAUCGAAAGCCGACAGAUGGCGUGUUCCUACUGCCGCGUGCCCCUUUCAUGUUGAGUGAAGUGGAAGAUCUGGCUCCAAGGGACCAAAGUUAGGAGUAACUCCAUGGACAGACAACCCACUGCCCACUCGGAAAGUUCACAAACAUCCAGCUGCCAGGGAGAAGCUUGAAGUCUGUCAGGCAGAGCCAACAAGGACACAGUGUCCUGCCAGGAGGGAGCCUGGAGAACACAGAGGACAGUAGGUAACCUGGACACCUCUGUUCUCUCCAAGUGUGGACACUGGUCCUCGCAGGGAAAGAAGCCUGACACUUGAGCAGUAUCAUUGGUCUGUCGCUGACUGUGAGGACCUUGUUUGGAGCCUUGCGGCUGUGGCUGGGGACCAUCUGUUAACAUCAGACUCUCUUCUCACAGGCUUUGAACAAAGGCAUAGGGAAGCCAUUACAAAAGAAGUGGGGUGCAGGUGGGGCCAUGCUUAUAUCCCUGGAAGGCAUGUUUCGAGGAAUGAAGAGACCAGGUGUGAAAACCGGAAGGGACACAAACUGUGUCAUUGUAUAUGAAUUCAGUGUUUCCUGGCAUAUCAUAACUGCAUUUUGCUUCUAUUCCUAGUGAGUGAUAUGGAUACAGCUCAUUAGUGGCUUUUGAAUAUGAAAUCUGGUAGAGGUGAUUGCUCAAGCCCAGUUUUAGCCACAGUUGCUUGUGGGGCCACAGGCUGGGUCCGUGUGGAGGCGUGUUUUUAGUGUCGUCACCACACAUCUGUUGCACACGUGUGGGGAGGUCGAGUGUAGGAGGGAAGACAGUCCUGGGACAAGCACUGCUGCUACUGAGCUGUUUCUGGCUAGAUGCUGCCAGAGUCUAUUGCCAGGAUAGCACCAGAGCCACGCAGACCAAGUUGAAAACUGAGGCAAGUCCUUCUGGUGUCUACCCAGGGGACACAAAGGAAAGAGCUAAGAGCUGUACCUGCCCCUUUAGUUUCUCAACACCAGAAACAAACUUGCUGUUCUCUGCAGGGGCUGUAGGCCGUAGCCUGAGGAAUGUGGAGUUUGGGGGUCAGCUUGUCCAUGUGCCUGGAAUGUCCUUCUUCUUUUGUAGCUGCUUAUCCACAUCUUGUACCAUGUAGCCAGGGGUUCCUUGACAUGGAUGCCCACACUGACAAGUCAUGGUAGUGAUGGCACAGAGAGCCAUCCUGGCCUUCUCAAUGAAGACACUAAUGUGCGAUUUCCUGGGGCUCUGGAACUCAGUCCAGGAGCCCAUUCUAUAAGACAGAACAAUUUCUUCUCCAUCAGGCUUCUGAGGUCUGUGGGCUCCAAGGAUAUCCCUUAAGGAGCUACCACAGUUGGGGAGGCUGACUACUGAAUACCACCCCACUUGGUGUCUGUUUAGUUUUCAUUGGGUAAAAAGGUCACCCAGGCCUCUUUUCCCUCACAAAUGUCCCAGAAAAUCUUCCUGAGCAGAUAAAGAUAAUGUCCAAGCAGAGGCAGGAGAAGGGGAUGAAUGAUGCUCACCAUCUGAGGAGAAUCAACCAUCCCUGCAACCUGUCCCAGGUGACUGUUAUCGUGAAAUGAGGAACUUGAGAUCCUCCAGGUGGGACAGCUCUUUCUUGUUCGCUCUGAUGGAGGGAGCCACAGCAAGGUUAGGUUGCACCUGGGAUCUGAUUCUGAACAAAUAUAAAAAUCACAGUUGUGCUGUUGUUGCUGUUGUUGUUGCUGCUGCUGCUGCCAGCAGCUGCUGCUGCUGCUGGAUACAGCUACAAGAGCCCUGGUAGAUACAAGGGCCCUAGAUUAAGCACCAAGGGCUCUUAUAUUGGUGACGGCAAAGCCAAAGUUGAGAUAUAAAAAGAGGAGAAAGAAUGACUACUUGCAGUGGGCUGGAAGAAGAAGGCAGCAUCUGAAAAGCAAUGGCCUUCUCAAAGAAAGCAAGGGAACUCCAUUCGGGGAGCUUCAGACAUAUCUGAAAGGAUAUGUCUGGAAAGAGGGCACUGCACUGCUGCGCAUCCUCAGGGAAGAGGGUCACUGCACUUCUGAGCAUGCUCAGUGAAGAAGUUCACGGCAUGCCUAAGUAUGCUCAGGGAAGAAUACAUUACAUUCCUGAGCUUGCUCAGGUUAAGGUCACAGAGUUCAUGCUUAAAUGAUGGACAGAAAUGUCUGUGGGCAUGGACAAUUACUGAAA